GACGAACGCUGGCGGCGUGCCUAAUACAUGCAAGUCGAGCGCAGGAAAUCGACGGAACCCUUCGGGGGGAAGUCGAUGGAAUGAGCGGCGGACGGGUGAGUAACACGUAAAGAACCUGCCCUCAGGUCUGGGAUAACCACGAGAAAUCGGGGCUAAUACCGGACGGGUCAUCGGACCGUAUGGUCCGAGGAUGAAAGGCGCUGCGGCGUCGCCUGGGGAUGGCUUUGCGGUGCAUUAGCUAGUUGGUGGGGUAAUGGCCCACCAAGGCGACGAUGCAUAGCCGACCUGAGAGGGUGAUCGGCCACACUGGGACUGAGACACGGCCCAGACUCCUACGGGAGGCAGCAGUAGGGAAUCUUCCACAAUGGACGAAAGUCUGAUGGAGCAACGCCGCGUGAACGAUGAAGGCCUUCGGGUCGUAAAGUUCUGUUGUAAGGGAAGAACAAGUGCCGCAGGCAAUGGCGGCACCUUGACGGUACCUUGCGAGAAAGCCACGGCUAACUACGUGCCAGCAGCCGCCGUAACAC
rnacentral:rRNA from 1 species